ensembl:lncRNA
GGAUCAUCCCACCCAUUGGGGAACCACCCACUCCCCCAUCUUUUUCACAGCGCCUUGGAGCUGUCCUGCCAACUCUGGCUGUGAUGGUGGUGCAGAUGCAUGGUAGCUGUAACAGGAGCGCAGACGCAGGGUGGAGAUGAACUACCCCACGUCCAAAUCAGGGGCAGCAGCUGAGAUUAUCUACCUUACUUCCAAGGUAAGGAGCAGAGGCUGCACUUUGCUGGAGCAGCCGUGAAGAGAUAUCGCAUGUCCAAGGUAAGAGAAACCCAGGUAAGAUGGUAGGCCCUGAGAGAGGGCAUCAAAGGGCAGACCGAUUGAAAACACAUUCACAGACAAGUAGCCAAUCUGUCACACGGACCACAGCCUUGCCUAACUCAAUGAAACUAAGCCAUGCCUUGCGGGGCCACCCAAGAUGGACGGCUCAUGGUGGAGUGGUCUGACAGAAUGUGGUCCACUAGGGAAAGGAAUGGCAAACCACUUCAGUAUUCUUGCCUUGAGAACCCCAUGAACAGUAUGAUAAAGCAAAAAGAUAGGACACUGAAAGAUGAACUUCCCAGGUUGGUAGGCGCCCAAUAUGCUACUGGAGAUCAGUGGGGAAAUAACUCCAGAAAGAAUGAAGGGAUGGAGCCAAAGCAAAGACAACACCCAGUUGUGGGUGGGACUGGUGAUAGAAGCAAGAUUCAAUGCUGUAGAAAGCAAUAUUGCAUAGGAACCUGGAUUGUUACUUCCAUGAAUUGAGGCAAAUUGGAAGUGGUCAAACAGGAGAUGACAAGAGUGAACAUAGACAUUCAAGGAAUCAACUAAAUUAGAUGGACUGGAUUGGGUGAAUUUAAUUCAGAUGACCAUUAUAUCUACAACUGGGCAUGAAUCCCUUAGAAGAAAUGGAGUAGACAUCAUAGUCAACAAAAUAGUCUGAAAUGCAGUACUUGGAUGCAGUCUCAAAAAUUACAGUAUGAUCUCUGCUCGUUUCCAAGGCAAACCAUUCAAUAUCACGGUAAUCCAAGUCUAUGCCAUGAUCAGUAACACUGUAGAAGCUAAAGUUGGACAGUUCUAUGAAGACCUACAAGACCUUCUAGAAAACACUCAAAAAAGAUAUCAUUUUCAUUAUAGGGGACUGGAAUGAAAAAGUAGGAGUCAAGAAAUAUCAGGAGUAACACGCAAAUUUGGCCUUGGAGUACAGAAUGAAGCAGGGCAAAGGCUAAUAGAGCACUGCCAAGAGAACGCAGUGGUCAUAGCAAACACAUUCUUCCAACAACACAAGAGAAGACUCUGAAAAGUUAUUGUUGAAUUACGAUGCUGGGAUUCUUGGCCCCCGGAGGAGAAGAAUUCAAUCUGGGGCCAAAGACGAGGCUUGAUCACUCAGAGCUUUUGUGUA